UACGUAGGCAGCGAGCGUUGUUCGGAAUUAUUGGGCGUAAAGAACUCGUAGGCGGCCUGUUGCGUCCGCUGUGAAAGCCCGGGGCUUAACCCCGGGUCUGCAGUGGAUACGGGCAGGCUAGAGGUAGGUAGGGGAGAAUGGAAUUCCCGGUGUAGCGGUGAAAUGCGCAGAUAUCGGGAGGAACACCGAUUGCGAAGGCAGCCCGCUACGCAACGAUUGACGCUGAGGCACGAAAGCGUGGGGAUCAAACAGGAGUUAG
rnacentral:rRNA from 1 species